rnacentral:lncRNA from 1 species
GGGACAUGACUUGGUGGUAUCUGCUCCACAUGCCCUACAGUACAUGGUUUGCUGUCCACCCGACUGGUGGCUUACCAGUGUUCAUAUGGCCUACUAUCAGACUCUGUUGGCACUGCCCAGGCCACCAGGAGGCCAGGAGAGUGGCCUUGAGAGUUGCCCCAUUGAUGGUGGUCCGAGGCCCAAGAUCACCAGGACUCAAGUUCUGUACUCUGUUGAAGAUCUGGCAUUCAUCUCAAGAGACCCCAACAACCGCUUUGAUCCAGAAAAAGAACUCUGAUAUGUACCAUCAGGAAAGAUGAUUCUACCACAAGAACAAGUGCUGACAAUGAUAAGACAAAUGCAUCAAUGGACCUACCUGAGGAUAUCAAGUUAACUCAAACUGCCUUAAGAUCUAAGAAUUAUGUUCCAGGACUGAAACAACCUGGUGGAACAAAUAGUUCACAGUUGUGUUCCCUGCCAAAAGGUAAAUGCUUGCAGAUGCAAAGCUGACCCCAGUAAGAGACCUCAGGGAGAUAAGCCAGGAACCCACUGGGAAGUGGAUUUCACCGAGAUAAAACCAGGUUAAAGGGCCUGCAGGUGGUACAAAAAGAAGCGUGGUCACAGCUGACAGCUUCCUAUGAACCUGGUAGCCCUAAGACAUCACAUCGGUUCCAGGUUGGAGAUUCAGUCUAUGUGAGGUGACACCAUGCCUAGAUGCUUGAGCCCCGUUGGAAAGGACACUAUCUAGUACUGCUAACUACUCGAAGGGCUAUAAAGGGAGACAGAAUCACCACAGGGAUACAUGCCUUGCUCCCCCAACUGAAACUGGAAUUCCAGAAGACCACCCCACUUGGAGAGUCCAGAAUACAGAGAACCCACUGAAGCUGAAGAUCGUCAAAGGGCUCAAAGAUGUGGGUCCUUACCCUGUCAAGAAUUUUAAUCUGAAUUAUUCAUAGAAGUGUCCUAAGAAAUUGAAAAUAUUUCAUUACUGAGUGACAUAUUUCUUCGAUGGAAGGCUAUACAAGCCAGAGGAGUUGACAGGAACAGAAGAAAAUUACAAAUAAAAUUACUGAUAACAUAGUACCUAGAAGCCACAACUGUUGUCAUUUGGCCAGUGAUCCUGACUCUGAGGAGGGAAGGAAGGAGAAAAAAAGAAAGAAACAAGGAGGAUGAGAAAGAAUUGAGAAGGGAGAAGCAAUACAGAGAGACUUCUUGGGCUUUCUGGACCUAAAUUAAAUGACACUUGAAGACAAAAACCUGAGGCAUAUGUACAGAAUAGUUACACCGAACUGUUCUGGUUAUACUUCCUUUACUUCAUAUAAUGUAUACCAAAAGCAAGCACAUAAAAAAGAAAAUACUCAAGUUUACAAACUAACAAG